rnacentral:lncRNA from 1 species
CCUACUUGCUCAUUCUUAAUUACUACCACAAGAAAGUCGUCCCUAUAUCCAUAGGGUCUUAUGCAGUCCACGACUUUCUUUUGUUAUGAGGUCUCGAAGACUAGAUUUAGAUUUCAAUCUUAGUCAGUGAGCUUAAUAGCACUUCUCAGAUCAGGUUACGCCUUUCCAGCUGAGCUGGGCGCCAUGACCCUCCUAGUCAUAACUAACUCUUGUAGAAAAUAAUAC